rnacentral:rRNA from 1 species
GACGAACGCUGGCGGCGUGCUUAACACAUGCAAGUCGAACGGAAAGGCCUGCUUUCCCUUGUGGAUUGCGGGUACUCGAGUGGCGAACGGGUGAGUAACACGUGAGUGAUCUGCCCCCAACUUGGGUAUAAGCCUGGGAAACUGGGUCUAAUUCCCGAUAGGACUGCAGGGUGGUGCCUGUGGUGGAAAACGAUUUUCUAGUGGUUGGGGAUGAGCUCGCGGCCUAUCAGCUUGUUGGUGGGGUAAUGGCCUACCAAGGCGGCGACGGGUAGCCGGCCUGAGAGGGUGGACGGCCACAUUGGGACUGAGAUACGGCCCAGACUCCGACGGGAGGCAGCAGUGGGGAAUAUUGGACAAUGGGCGGAAGCCUGAUGCAGCGACGCCGCGUGGGGGAUGACGGCCUUCGGGUGGUAAACUCCUUUCGACCGCGAGGAAGCCACCUGGUUGGAAGGGUGGUGACGGUAGUGGUAGAAGAAGCACCGGCUAACUACGUG